UAUCGGUUGUUUCAUUAACACAUUAGUCCUUCGAGUUCAGCUUGAAGGUCACCAGUCUUUCGAGGAGAUAGUCCAAAUAGUUUCCAAUACAUUCAUGCAAGCAUACGAUCACAUAGAUGCACCCUUUGACUAUCUUGUGAGCCAAUUAAACUUACCGCGGGACACAAGUGAGACACCAAUAUUCAGCAUUAAUGUCUGUUACCACAAUACAGAAAACAAAUCCGAACACGUCUCGCCGCCUGAAGGACUUCACACAGAGAGAAGACUUUUGCAUAAUGAUACUUCAAAAUGGGAUAUGCAGUUCGACUUUCUCCAGGAAAGAAGUGGUAUGCGAUUUACAUUAGAAUAUUAUAGCGAUGUGUUUUCUGAUGUAUACGCACAGAACAUUGCAAAUAGUUUUUGUCGCUUACUUGAAAGUGUUAGUAAACCAUCUACCAACAUGCUACAGGAAUUAGCGACUGUUAUAUCAUCAGAUUCGCCCAUAGAUCUAACUUACAGUUCGAAGUCAAUUCUUUGUGGUGAAACCGUUAAUCUAGAAAAUCAAACGCUAUCAAAAAAGUUAUUCACUAGCUUUAACAAAA
rnacentral:lncRNA from 1 species